GGCUGGUCCAAAGGUAAUGAGUUAUCUCAAUUGAUUGUUCACAGUUACAGAUCGAACUCCUUGUUCUACUCUUUCCCCCCUUUUCACCACUGCACUUGACUAUUCUUUU
rnacentral:Y_RNA from 1 species